rnacentral:rRNA from 3 species
UUAAGCGACUAAGCGUACACGGUGGAUGCCCUGGCAGUCAGAGGCGAUGAAGGACGUGCUAAUCUGCGAUAAGCGUCGGUAAGGUGAUAUGAACCGUUAUAACCGGCGAUUUCCGAAUGGGGAAACCCAGUGUGUUUCGACACACUAUCAUUAACUGAAUCCAUAGGUUAAUGAGGCGAACCGGGGGAACUGAAACAUCUAAGUACCCCGAGGAAAAGAAAUCAACCGAGAUUCCCCCAGUAGCGGCGAGCGAACGGGGAGCAGCCCAGAGCCUGAAUCAGUGUGUGUGUUAGUGGAAGCGUCUGGAAAGGCGCGCGAUACAGGGUGACAGCCCCGUACACAAAAAUGCACAUGCUGUGAGCUCGAUGAGUAGGGCGGGACACGUGGUAUCCUGUCUGAAUAUGGGGGGACCAUCCUCCAAGGCUAAAUACUCCUGACUGACCGAUAGUGAACCAGUACCGUGAGGGAAAGGCGAAAAGAACCCCGGCGAGGGGAGUGAAAAAGAACCUGAAACCGUGUACGUACAAGCAGUGGGAGCACGCUUAGGCGUGUGACUGCGUACCUUUUGUAUAAUGGGUCAGCGACUUAUAUUCUGUAGCAAGGUUAACCGAAUAGGGGAGCCGAAGGGAAACCGAGUCUUAACUGGGCGUUAAGUUGCAGGGUAUAGACCCGAAACCCGGUGAUCUAGCCAUGGGCAGGUUGAAGGUUGGGUAACACUAACUGGAGGACCGAACCGACUAAUGUUGAAAAAUUAGCGGAUGACUUGUGGCUGGGGGUGAAAGGCCAAUCAAACCGGGAGAUAGCUGGUUCUCCCCGAAAGCUAUUUAGGUAGCGCCUCGUGAAUUCAUCUCCGGGGGUAGAGCACUGUUUCGGCAAGGGGGUCAUCCCGACUUACCAACCCGAUGCAAACUGCGAAUACCGGAGAAUGUUAUCACGGGAGACACACGGCGGGUGCUAACGUCCGUCGUGAAGAGGGAAACAACCCAGACCGCCAGCUAAGGUCCCAAAGUCAUGGUUAAGUGGGAAACGAUGUGGGAAGGCCCAGACAGCCAGGAUGUUGGCUUAGAAGCAGCCAUCAUUUAAAGAAAGCGUAAUAGCUCACUGGUCGAGUCGGCCUGCGCGGAAGAUGUAACGGGGCUAAACCAUGCACCGAAGCUGCGGCAGCGACACUAUGUGUUGUUGGGUAGGGGAGCGUUCUGUAAGCCUGUGAAGGUGUGCUGUGAGGCAUGCUGGAGGUAUCAGAAGUGCGAAUGCUGACAUAAGUAACGAUAAAGCGGGUGAAAAGCCCGCUCGCCGGAAGACCAAGGGUUCCUGUCCAACGUUAAUCGGGGCAGGGUGAGUCGACCCCUAAGGCGAGGCCGAAAGGCGUAGUCGAUGGGAAACAGGUUAAUAUUCCUGUACUUGGUGUUACUGCGAAGGGGGGACGGAGAAGGCUAUGUUGGCCGGGCGACGGUUGUCCCGGUUUAAGCGUGUAGGCUGGUUUUCCAGGCAAAUCCGGAAAAUCAAGGCUGAGGCGUGAUGACGAGGCACUACGGUGCUGAAGCAACAAAUGCCCUGCUUCCAGGAAAAGCCUCUAAGCAUCAGGUAACAUCAAAUCGUACCCCAAACCGACACAGGUGGUCAGGUAGAGAAUACCAAGGCGCUUGAGAGAACUCGGGUGAAGGAACUAGGCAAAAUGGUGCCGUAACUUCGGGAGAAGGCACGCUGAUAUGUAGGUGAAGUCCCUCGCGGAUGGAGCUGAAAUCAGUCGAAGAUACCAGCUGGCUGCAACUGUUUAUUAAAAACACAGCACUGUGCAAACACGAAAGUGGACGUAUACGGUGUGACGCCUGCCCGGUGCCGGAAGGUUAAUUGAUGGGGUUAGCGCAAGCGAAGCUCUUGAUCGAAGCCCCGGUAAACGGCGGCCGUAACUAUAACGGUCCUAAGGUAGCGAAAUUCCUUGUCGGGUAAGUUCCGACCUGCACGAAUGGCGUAAUGAUGGCCAGGCUGUCUCCACCCGAGACUCAGUGAAAUUGAACUCGCUGUGAAGAUGCAGUGUACCCGCGGCAAGACGGAAAGACCCCGUGAACCUUUACUAUAGCUUGACACUGAACAUUGAGCCUUGAUGUGUAGGAUAGGUGGGAGGCUUUGAAGUGUGGACGCCAGUCUGCAUGGAGCCGACCUUGAAAUACCACCCUUUAAUGUUUGAUGUUCUAACGUUGACCCGUAAUCCGGGUUGCGGACAGUGUCUGGUGGGUAGUUUGACUGGGGCGGUCUCCUCCUAAAGAGUAACGGAGGAGCACGAAGGUUGGCUAAUCCUGGUCGGACAUCAGGAGGUUAGUGCAAUGGCAUAAGCCAGCUUGACUGCGAGCGUGACGGCGCGAGCAGGUGCGAAAGCAGGUCAUAGUGAUCCGGUGGUUCUGAAUGGAAGGGCCAUCGCUCAACGGAUAAAAGGUACUCCGGGGAUAACAGGCUGAUACCGCCCAAGAGUUCAUAUCGACGGCGGUGUUUGGCACCUCGAUGUCGGCUCAUCACAUCCUGGGGCUGAAGUAGGUCCCAAGGGUAUGGCUGUUCGCCAUUUAAAGUGGUACGCGAGCUGGGUUUAGAACGUCGUGAGACAGUUCGGUCCCUAUCUGCCGUGGGCGCUGGAGAACUGAGGGGGGCUGCUCCUAGUACGAGAGGACCGGAGUGGACGCAUCACUGGUGUUCGGGUUGUCAUGCCAAUGGCACUGCCCGGUAGCUAAAUGCGGAAGAGAUAAGUGCUGAAAGCAUCUAAGCACGAAACUUGCCCCGAGAUGAGUUCUCCCUGACUCCUUGAGAGUCCUGAAGGAACGUUGAAGACGACGACGUUGAUAGGCCGGGUGUGUAAGCGCAGCGAUGCGUUGAGCUAACCGGUACUAAUGAACCGUGAGGCUUAACCUU